AACGCUGGCGGCGUGCCUAACACAUGCAAGUCGCACGAGAAAGGGGCUUCGGCCCUGAGUAAAGUGGCGCACGGGUGAGUAACACGUGACUAAUCUACCCUCGAGUGGGGAAUAACCUAGGGAAACCUGGGCUAAUACCGCAUAACACUUACGAGUCAAAGCAGCAAUGCGCUUGGGGAGGAGGUCGCGGCAGAUUAGCUAGUUGGUGGGGUAAUGGCCCACCAAGGCGAUGAUCUGUAUCCGGCCUGAGAGGGCGCACGGACACACUGGAACUGAAACACGGUCCAGACUCCUACGGGAGGCAGCAGUGGGGAAUUUUGCGCAAUGGGGGAAACCCUGACGCAGCAACGCCGCGUGGAGGAUGAAGUCUCUUGGGACGUAAACUCCUUUCGAUCGGGACGAUAAUGACGGUACCGAUAGAAGAAGCCCCGGCUAACUUCGUGCCAGCAGCCGCGGUAAUACGAGGGGGGCAAGCGUUGUUCGGAAUUAUUGGGCGUAAAGGGCGCGUAGGCGGUUUGGCAAGUUUCGUGUGAAAACUUCGGGCUCAACUCGAAGCCUGCACGGAAAACUGCCGGGCUUGAGUAUGGGAGAGGUGAGUGGAAUUUCCGGUGUAGCGGUGAAAUGCGUAGAUAUCGGAAGGAACACCUGUGGCGAAAGCGGCUCACUGGACCAUAACUGACGCUGAGGCGCGAAAGCUAGGGGAGCAAACAGGAUUAGAUACCCUGGUAGUCCUAGCCCUAAACGAUGAUUGCUUGGUGUGGCAGGUACCCAAUCCUGCCGUGCCGAAGCUAACGCGAUAAGCAAUCCGCCUGGGGAGUACGGUCGCAAGGCUGAAACUCAAAGGAAUUGACGGGGGCCCGCACAAGCGGUGGAGCAUGUGGUUUAAUUCGACGCAACGCGAAGAACCUUACCUGGGCUCGAAAUGUACAGGAAUCCGGUAGAAAUAUCGGCGCCCAGCAAUGGGCCUGUAUAUAGGUGCUGCAUGGCUGUCGUCAGCUCGUGUCGUGAGAUGUUGGGUUAAGUCCCGCAACGAGCGCAACCCUUACCUCCAGUUGCUACCAUUUAGUUGAGCACUCUGGCGGAACCGCCUCGGAUAACGGGGAGGAAGGUGGGGAUGACGUCAAGUCCUCAUGGCCUUUAUGUCCAGGGCUACACACGUGCUACAAUGGCCGGUACAAACCGUCGCGAACCUGUGAAGGGGAGCCAAUCGGAAAAAGCCGGCCUCAGUUCGGAUUGGAGUCUGCAACUCGACUCCAUGAAGCUGGAAUCGCUAGUAAUCGCAGAUCGGCACGCUGCGGUGAAUACGUUCCCGGGCCU
rnacentral:rRNA from 1 species